rnacentral:rRNA from 1 species
UACGGAGGGUACGAGCGUUGUCCGGAAUCACUGGGCGUAAAGGGCGCGUAGGCGGCGCGGGAAGUCAUCGGUGAAAGUUCAGGGCUCAACUCUGAAUCGGCCGGUGAUACUCUCGUGCUUGAGCACUGUAGAGGCAGGUGGAAUUCCGGGUGUAGCGGUGGAAUGCGUAGAGAUCCGGAAGAACACCGGUGGCGAAGGCGGCCUGCUGGGCAGUAGCUGACGCUGAUGCGCGACAGCGUGGGGAGCAAACAGG